rnacentral:lncRNA from 1 species
UUUUAUAUAAUUAUUUUGUAUUUUGAACUAUUAGACAUAUUUUUGUAUCAAAUUAUAGAUAAUGUUCUAUACAAAUUAAACUAUUGAUCGUAUGAUGUUAAGAAUUUCAAGCAGCUCGUUUAGGGCUCGAGCUUGCUCGACUCGAAAUUAGGCUCGCUCGAGGUCGGCUCGAAUUAAUUUCAAUCCAAGCUUGAGCUUAAAUUUAGGCUCGAAAUUAAUUUCAAGCCGAAUUUGAGCCAAGGUAAGCUCGCUCGAGCCCGGCUCGUUUCCACCCCUACAUAUGGCGCUACAAAUGUGU